AGAACGAACGCUGGCGGCAUGCCUAAUACAUGCAAGUCGAACGAACUCUUCGGAGUUAGUGGCGCACGGGUGCGUAACGCGUGGGAAUCUGCCCCUUGGUUCGGAAUAACAGUUGGAAACGACUGCUAAUACCGGAUGAUGACGAAAGUCCAAAGAUUUAUCGCCAAGGGAUGAGCCCGCGUAGGAUUAGCUAGUUGGUGAGGUAAAGGCUCACCAAGGCAACGAUCCUUAGCUGGUCUGAGAGGAUGAUCAGCCACACUGGGACUGAGACACGGCCCAGACUCCUACGGGAGGCAGCAGUAGGGAAUAUUGGACAAUGGGCGAAAGCCUGAUCCAGCAAUGCCGCGUGAGUGAUGAAGGCCUUAGGGUUGUAAAGCUCUUUUACCCGAGAUGAUAAUGAACAGUAGUCGGAGAAUAAGCCCGGACUAACCUCCGCGCCAGCAGCCCGC
rnacentral:rRNA from 1 species